rnacentral:rRNA from 1 species
GCAGUCGCCGCGGUAAUACGAAGGGUGCAAGCGUUAAUCGGAAUUACUGGGCGUAAAGCGUGCGUAGGCGGUGAGUUAAGUCUGCUGUGAAAUCCCCGGGCUCAACCUGGGAAUGGCAGUGGAUACUGGCUCGCUAGAGUGUGUCAGAGGAUGGUGGAAUUCCCGGUGUAGCGGUGAAAUGCGUAGAGAUCGGGAGGAACAUCAGUGGCGAAGGCGGCCAUCUGGGACAUCACUGACGCUGAGGCACGAAAGCGUGGGGAGCAAACAGGAUUAGAUACCCGGGUAGUCCCUGUCUCUUAUAC